rnacentral:rRNA from 1 species
UGGGGAAUAUUGGACAAUGGGCGCAAGCCUGAUCCAGCCAUGCCGCGUGUGUGAAGAAGGCCUUUUGGUUGUAAAGCACUUUAAGCGAGGAGGAGGCUACUUGGAUUAAUACUCUAGGAUAGUGGACGUUACUCGCAGAAUAAGCACCGGCUAACUCUGUGCCAGCAGCCGCGGUAAUACAGAGGGUGCGAGCGUUAAUCGGAUUUACUGGGCGUAAAGCGUGCGUAGGCGGCUUCUUAAGUCGGAUGUGAAAUCCCUGAGCUUAACUUAGGAAUUGCAUUCGAUACUGGGAAGCUAGAGUAUGGGAGAGGAUGGUAGAAUUCCAGGUGUAGCGGUGAAAUGCGUAGAGAUCUGGAGGAAUACCGAUGGCGAAGGCAGCCAUCUGGCCUAAUACUGACGCUGAGGUACGAAAGCAUGGGGAGCAGACAGG